UUGUUUCUCAGUUUUACCCUCCUUUUGCCUUUUUUUCUCUACUCGGAUGUACCCUCUCCUUCACGAUUUAGUUCUUGUCUUCCCCACAAAGACAAAUCAUCAACAUAAAAAGGGUAAUCUUCUCCUGCAAUUAGGGUUAUUCUUGACGCUCAAUCAGAUACAUUCAACCACAAAUUGAGGCUGCACAAUAGUUCUGAUCGUGAUUUCUUGAAGGUUAGUACUGUAAGAACAUGCAGGGACCUUGGAACUAGUGAUGGAGGUUUUUACCAACUCCAUGUAUCGUUUUUAAUAGGUGACUCUGUAGAGUUUUUAUAUGGUGAAACCGAGCUGUUGAUGAAGCAGAUAAACUUAUUUUAGAAUCGGGAGAUGUUUUGAUAUAGGGGGAAAUCAAGAUUAAUAUAUCAUAUGUUGGUACCGGUUUUUUGAGA